UACGUAGGGUGCGAGCGUUAAUCGGAAUUACUGGGCGUAAAGCGUGCGCAGGCGAUUCGUUUGUGUCGGCGGUGAAAGCCCCCGGGCUUAACCUGGGAAUGGCCGUUGAAACUGGCGAACUGGAGUGUGGCAGAGGGGGGGGUGGAAUUCCGCGUGUAGCAGUGAAAAUGCGUAGAGAUGCGGAGGAACACCGAUGGCGAAAGGCACCCCCCCCUGGGGCUAACACUGACGCUCAGGCACGAAAAGCGUGGGGGGAGCAAAACAGGAUUAGAAAACCCCC
rnacentral:rRNA from 1 species